UGGGGAAUCUUGCGCAAUGGGCGAAAGCCUGACGCAGCAACGCCGCGUGCGGGAUGACGGCCCUCGGGUUGUAAACCGCUUUCAGCAGGGACGAAAAUGACGGUACCUGCAGAAGAAGCUCCGGCUAACUACGUGCCAGCAGCCGCGGUAAUACGUAGGGAGCAAGCGUUGUCCGGAUUUAUUGGGCGUAAAGAGCUCGUAGGCGGUUCCGUAAGUCGAGUGUGAAAAAUCUGGGCUCAACCCAGUGGAGCACUCGAUACUGCGGUGACUGGAGUCCGGUAGGGGAGUGUGGAAUUCCUGGUGUAGCGGUGAAAUGCGCAGAUAUCAGGAGGAACACCGACAGCGAAGGCAGCACUCUGGGCCGGUACUGACGCUGAGGAGCGAAAGCGUGGGGAGCAAACAGG
rnacentral:rRNA from 1 species